GUGGGGUAAAAGCCUACCAAGGCCACGAUCAGUAGCCGACCUGAGAGGGUGAUCGGCCACAUUGGAACUGAGACACGGUCCAAACUCCUACGGGAGGCAGCAGUGGGGAAUAUUGCACAAUGGGCGAAAGCCUGAUGCAGCAACGCCGCGUGAACGAUGAAGGUCUUCGGAUCGUAAAGCUCUGUCCUAAGGGACGAUAAUGACGGUACCUUAGGAGGAAGCCCCGGCUAACUAC
rnacentral:rRNA from 1 species